rnacentral:rRNA from 1 species
UACGUAGGGGGCUAGCGUUGUCCGGAAUCAUUGGGCGUAAAGAGCUCGUAGGCGGUCUGUCGCGUCGGCUGUGAAAUCCCGAGGCUCAACCUCGGGUCUGCAGUCGAUACGGGCAAACUAGAGUAUUGCAGGGGAGACUGGAAUUCCUGGUGUAGCGGUGAAAUGCGCAGAUAUCAGGAGGAACACCGGUGGCGAAGGCGGGUCUCUGGGCAAUAACUGACGCUGAGGAGCGAAAGCGUGGGGAGCGAACAGG